rnacentral:rRNA from 1 species
CAAUAGCGUAUAUUAAAGUUGUUGCAGUUAAAAAGCUCGUAGUUGGAUUUCUGGUGGGAGCGAUCGGUCUGGCGCUUAGCGCGAGUACUUGCAUCGUCUCCGGCCAUCCUUGGGGAGAGUCUGUCUGGCAUUAGGUUGUCGGGCAGAGGAUCCUCAUCGUUUACUGUGAAAAAAUUAGAGUGUUCAAAGCAGGCUUAUGCCGUUGAAUGUAUUGGCAUGGAAUAAUAAGAUAGGACUUUGGUACUAUUUUGUUGGUUUGCGCACCAAAGUAAUGAUUAAUAGGGACAGUUGGGGGUAUUCGUAUUCCGUUGUCAGAGGUGAAAUUCUUGGAUUUACGGAAGACGAACUACUGCGAAAGCAUUUACCAAGGAUGUUUUCAUUAA